CCUGCUGUACGACCAGCAGUUGCCUACCCGGACGUGCGCGACCGGUAACGGUCGGGUUCGAAGCUCCGGGGGACAAAGUACCCCCUAUGGGCGAUUCACCCGGGCGACCGGGCAGGAAUCGACACUGCCAGCAGCCGUGCGGUGUGGGGC
rnacentral:ncRNA from 1 species